rnacentral:rRNA from 1 species
UAUUGGUUGAUUGUAUGAGGAUUGGAUGAGAUAUAAGCUGUCUUGAUAAUAUUUAAUUGAAUUUAAUUUUUUAUUUAAAAAGUUAAAAUAAUUUAAAAAGACGAGAAGACCCUAUAGAGUUUUAUAUUAAAUUAAAUUAAAAUUAUUUAUAUAAUUAUUAAUAUAGAUUUAAUUUUAGUAUUUUGUUGGGGUGACAAAAAAAUAAAUAAAACUUUUUUUAUUAUUUACAUAAAUAAAUGAAUUUUUGAUCCAAUUUUAUUGAUUAAAAGAAAAAAUUACCUUAGGGAUAACAGCGUAAUUUUUUUUUUUAUUUCUUAUAAAAAAAAAAGUUUGCGACCUCGAUGUUGGAUCAGGACAAA